rnacentral:tRNA from 3 species
GACAAGAUGGCCGAGUGGUUAAGGCGUACCGUUCAAGCUGUCACGUGAACACUUGGAAAGUUCCCCUCUUUGGGAGAACUUCCUGAUCCGGUAUGGGGAAACCCGCGUGAGUUCGAGUCUCGCUCUUGUCA